rnacentral:lncRNA from 1 species
GGCGGGCGGCUGCGCCGGCCCCGCGGAGAGGGCGCGAUGCGAAAUUAGCGAGCGAGGGUCGGUGCAGCCAGCGCACCUUAAGAGUCAGCGAGGCUGCGGUGUUCAAAGGAGUUUCUGAUUUAACAGAUGGUACCGCAGGAAAGAAACAGUUUGCGGAGGGAAAUUGUUAUGACACGGGUUUUUUGCUCUCUCGUAUGACAAUUUAUUCUGGUAAUUCUUUCAGUUUAGAAGACGUAUUUUAACUUAUUGUCAGUAACCAACAAAUACCAAAUAUGCCCCGAGAUUUUUGCCUCUGAAAAUGGGAUUUUAUAUUAAUUUUAAAAAUGCUUCUUUUGUUGUUCCGCUCACAUGUAAAUCGUUUUAACGCUACGUGUUCCAAAUAUUAGGGAAUGUAAAGUUUUUCACUUAACGUUGAAAGCGGCGUGGUGUAGCUAGUUUCUUUUCCUGUGCUCUAAACCGAGGAAAGGUUUCGGAAGCUGCUUCCCUAUUCAAAGGAAGCUUUUGGAUAUUUACAAAGUUGUAUUAAGGUAGUUUUCUAAUUAAAAUCAUAAUAGGGAAAGGGGAAUUUGAGGAGCUUAGUGUGUCAUUGGUGAGAGAACUGGACUGAAGGCCAGUACGGUGCUCUUGGUAGACAGUCUGCUCAUUUGGCAAUGCCUAUAAGUGUUGUCAGUCUAAUGACUCGACUUUUAACACUUCUAAGCCAUACUUACCUUUGCACAAUGACUUAGAUUUAAUGUAGUACUCGGACAUGAAUAUUCAUAUAAGCUGAAAUGUCUGCAUGUUAAGCCUCGUCAGAAUUUAGGUGUAUUUAAAAACAGUUACAGAUUCAGAAGAUGCCAUUCCUUUGUAUAUUCUUGCUGGAUUCCGCUCCUCUGCAACUCUUCAACUUUUCUCCCAGUGAAACUCCCACACCUUCACCCACCAAGGCAGCGCUCCCAGAGGAACAAUUGAUCCGUGGGCUUCUGAAAGCCAGUCUGUGUGAUUCGGCUUUGCAUGCUGAUGCAAAAAAGUGGUUUAUGUGAGACCAUUAGGGGAGUGUUUCAAGAAUGGUUGUACUUUGGAAGCCUAGUUUCAUAAAAUGACUUGGGAAUGGUUGGUUAAAGGUGAGCUACAAGAAUAACAUUUAAUUUCAACCUUCAAUUAAGGUAUUAACUAAUAGAGUUUGAGACAAA